GUAGUACUCCCUCCGUCCGAAAAUACUUGUCGGAGAAAUGGAUAAAAAUGAAUGUAUCUAGAACCAAAAUACAUCUAGAUACAUCUAUUCCUCCGACAAGUAUUUCCGGACAGAGGGGGUAUAUG
rnacentral:pre_miRNA from 1 species